rnacentral:rRNA from 1 species
UACGGAGGAUCCAAGCGUUAUCCGGAUUUAUUGGGUUUAAAGGGUGCGUAGGCGGCUAUUUAAGUCAGAGGUGAAAGACGGCAGCUCAACUGUCGCAGUGCCUUUGAUACUGAAUAGCUUGAAUGUGAUUGAAGAUGGCGGAAUGAGACAAGUAGCGGUGAAAUGCAUAGAUAUGUCUCAGAACUCCAAUUGCGAAGGCAGCUAUCUAAGUCAUUAUUGACGCUGAUGCACGAAAGCGUGGGGAUCGAAC